GGGUUUGGAGAUGUCUGACUUAUCUCAAAUAUUUGAAAACGGACAAACUAGGAGCCAGAUCUGAUAGAUAUAAUUUUAUUGGAUAUCUCAAAGAAACUAAGGAGUAUUACUUCUAUCUUGCUGAUGAACAAAAGGUAUUUGUCAGUCUUAGGGCAGUCUUUUUAGAAAAAAAAUUUUUGAAGAAGGGAUUAAUGCUUCUA
rnacentral:lncRNA from 1 species